CAGCCAUGGACAGAAGUGUGCGGCUGGUCCUGUGGUGUCUGCAGGUUUUCCCGCUCAUCACAUCGUUCACUUCUACUGAUGCAGCCGCUCUUGUGAGAGAUGAUCAUCAACAACAGUCUAUUGAUUUGGUGGCAAGAGAGGGAAAAAAAACAGGAUCAAAGAAGCAGAAAAAGACAUGUCACUGGUACCAUGGAGGAUGUGGCUUCCCGGACCAGUAGUGUUUUGGUGGUAUACUGGUACAAUAUGCCGGCACCAUGUUUCCACUUGAAUACAAACUGGGAGACCUGAGCGUUCCACUUAAAUCAACCCAACUCCAGAUAUCAUCUGCACAAAUGAUUUUCUGCACAAAGGUUGCAGAUGUCACCUAUUUUCAAUGUAAUUUUCGAAGACAAAAAGUGGUUACGGGAGAAAUAAAUUUGUAUUGUAUUGCU